rnacentral:rRNA from 1 species
UUACAGGACUCGCAAGACUCCCGUAAACCACUGUGAACUUACCUACAACCCGUUGCCUCGGCGGGUGCUCCGGGCGCGUCUUCGGGCGCUCCGGGGCGCUCCAGCCCGCCGGCGGCCCCUAAACUCUGUCUCUGUAACGUUGGCAUCUCCGAGCAGACUAUAAACGAGUCAAAACUUUCAACAACGGAUCUCUUGGUUCUGGCAUCGAUGAAGAACGCAGCGAAAUGCGAUAAGUAAUGUGAAUUGCAGAAUUCAGUGAAUCAUCGAAUCUUUGAACGCACAUUGCGCCCGCCAGCACUCUGGCGGGCAUGCCUGUCCGAGCGUCAUUUCAACCCUCAGGCCCCGCCUGGCGUUGGAGCCCUGCGCAGCGCAGGCUCCCAAAGACAGCGGCGGGCGCGCCCCGGAACCGAGCGCAGUAAUGCUUUCUCGUUCUGGUCCGGCGCGCGCUCCGGCCGUAAAACCCCCAACUUUCUAAGUGGUUGACCUCGGAUCAGGUAGGAAUACCCGCUGAACUUAAGCAUAUCAAUAAGCGGAGGAAAAGAAACCAACAGGGAUUGCCUC